UGGGGGAUAUUGCGCAAUGGAGGAAACUCUGACGCAGCAACGCCGCGUGAAGGAAGAAGGUCUUCGGAUUGUAAACUUUUGUCUUCGGGGACGAUAAUGACGGUACCCGAGGAUGAAGCCACGGCUAACUACGUGCCAGCAGCCGCGGUAAUACGUAGGUGGCGAGCGUUGUCCGGAAUUACUGGGUGUAAAGGGUGCGUAGGCGGGUUGACAAGUCAGAUGUGAAAUCCCAUGGCUUAACUGUGGGACUGCAUUUGAAACUGUUGGCCUUGAGUGCAAGAGAGGUAAGCGGAAUUCCCAGUGUAGCGGUGAAAUGCGUAGAUAUUGGGAGGAACACCAGUGGCGAAGGCGGCUUACUGGACUGCAACUGACGCUGAUGCACGAAAGCGUG
rnacentral:rRNA from 1 species